UACAGAGGGUGCGAGCGUUAAUCGGAAUUACUGGGCGUAAAGCGCGCGUAGGCGGCUUUGCAAGUCGGGUGUGAAAUCCCCAGGCUUAACCUGGGAACUGCAUUCGAGACUGCAUUGCUAGAGUAUGGGAGAGGGAAGUGGAAUUUCCGGUGUAGCGGUGAAAUGCGCAGAUAUCAGGAAGAACACCGAUGCGAAGGCAGCUCUCUGGGACGGUACUGACGCUGAGAGCGAAAGCGUGGGGAGCGAACAGG
rnacentral:rRNA from 1 species